rnacentral:tRNA from 1 species
GCCGAAGUGGCGGAAUGGUAGACGCGACGGAUUCAAAAUCCGUUUCCCGCAAGGGAGUGAGGGUUCGAGUCCCUCCUUCGGUAC